rnacentral:rRNA from 1 species
AACGAACGCUGGCGGCAUGCCUAACACAUGCAAGUCGAACGAGACCUUCGGGUCUAGUGGCGCACGGGUGCGUAACACGUGGGAAUUUGCCUCGGGGUAUGGAAUAACUCAGGGAAACUUGAGCUAAUACCAUAUAAUGUCUUCGGACCAAAGAUUUAAUCGCCCUGAGAUAAGCCCGCGUAGGAUUAGCUAGUUGGUGGGGUAAAGGCUCACCAAGGCGACGAUCCUUAGCUGGUCUGAGAGGAUGAUCAGCCACACUGGACUGAGACACGGCCCAGACUCCUACGGGAGGCAGCAGUGGGGAAUA